ACCACCUCUGCUCCUGAAAGAUGCAGGAUUUUUUAGGGAGAACAAGUAUUUUGUCUGAGUCUGAUUGGAUGUGAAUAUCGGGUGUUCAUUGGAGGGAAAAGGGGACGAAGAGAGUAGAACCAGCCAGCGCUGAUUCAUGAAACACUGCAGUUCCCAAGUUACUUGGAAAACGAAAAGUCUUCAGAACACCGCGGUACAGCUGUGGGACAGGACAGGCGCGCCUUUUACCGGAACGGGCCGCUAUUUAACCUUUCCCAGCUUGUUGUGACACACUGUGAUACAAGUGGUUGAUGUGCCAGUCAUGAUCAGGCUUUUUGUGACGUUUGGAGUUGGGGUAUAUGCAGGGAUCUACAUCACACAGAACUAUGAAGUACCCAGAGUGGAUGAGCCUUCCAAGCUCUGGGAGAAGGUUAAAGAAUGGGCUGAGUCUCAUAAGAAAAAAGAUUAACAUCAACUCA